AUCGAGGAACCAUGAGAUGCCGUUGAAUGGUACUAUUAUAGUAGACCUUGUUGCCGACGUUUUCUCCGAGAUUUUCAGGUAUCGUCCACGUGGAUUCUCCUUCAGGUCGAAAUAGAAAAGCUUGUGUUCUACCUGUAACGUCUUGCACAAUAACUCUACGUCGUUUCCACCACCACCGCCACCACUCGAAUUUCCCUCCAUCAAUAUCACUCACACUUCAACUUAAAAAUUGAACAAAAGAAAAUAAUCAGUGAGAAAUGAAUGAUAUAGCUGGCAUUAUGGAAAAGAAUUGGGGAUUCGAUUGCAAAUGUGUGAAUUAGGGUUCUAUGAAGAAGAGGAAUUUCAGUUGGAAAUAAUCGUUGACCAGUUCCGCUUGCUAAUCGAAA
rnacentral:misc_RNA from 1 species